GCAUGAGGGGCUGUAUAGGCUAAAUACAAGACGUUUGCAGUGUGUCUAUGAAAAUUUGAUAAGGGAAGUUUGGUUUUAUUUAAAUCCGGCAUAUUGAUUACGGUGGGAUCACAUCCAAUACAGAUUGUAGGUGAAGUACCACAAAUUUAGAUCUAUGCCUAGCGCUCAUGGACAUCGCAGUGAGGGUUCUUUCAAAGUGUCAUCGCCUGCCGUGAUACGUGACUUCCGUUUUUAAGGUUAUAUCCGAAAAAACCUUGAAUUCUUCUAACUAUCGAUCGCUUGGCGAAGCAAUAAUCACUACCUAUGUUUACGUCUUAGAUUUGAAGCGGCCCUGGCACGAACGGAGCUCGAACUUACGAUCUCCCGGUUAUGAAGCGAAAGCUCUAUAACUGAGCUACCGUGAUAUAUUUUUGGAAACAUCUGAUUUACUAAACAUGGCAGUUACUGUGUGUUCUACCGCAUUUGAAUUUCCCUACCCAGAAUUUAACCUGAGCAUAAGAUGGUACAGAAGGCCCAUAAAUAUCGGCCGUGUAUUUCCUUGCUUGUUUUACCUUUUAAAUACAAGUACCUAAUUAUAGCACGGUACUCAACUUUAGAUGAAAAGCUUGCUUUUGCAUCACUAGCCAUGUUUGACAUUCAAUAUCUUAUUAAAGAAUGAAUCGAUA